rnacentral:rRNA from 1 species
UACAGAGGGGGCAAGCGUUGUUCGGAAUUACUGGGCGUAAAGCGUGCGCAGGCGGUGAUGUAAGACAGGUGUGAAAUCCCCGGGCUUAACCUGGGAACUGCAUUUGUGACUGCAUCGCUGGAGUGCGGCAGAGGGGGAUGGAAUUCCGCGUGUAGCAGUGAAAUGCGUAGAUAUGCGGAGGAACACCGAUGGCGAAGGCAAUCCCCUGGGCCUGCACUGACGCUCAUGCACGAAAGCGUGGGGAGCGAACAGG